rnacentral:rRNA from 1 species
GAGUUUGAUCCUGGCUCAGAUUGAACGCUGGCGGCAGGCCUAACACAUGCAAGUCGAACGGUAACAGGAAGAAGCUUGCUUCUUUGCUGACGAGUGGCGGACGGGUGAGUAAUGUCUGGGAAACUGCCUGAUGGAGGGGGAUAACUACUGGAAACGGUAGCUAAUACCGCAUAACGUCGCAAGACCAAAGAGGGGGACCUUCGGGCCUCUUGCCAUCGGAUGUGCCCAGAUGGGAUUAGCUAGUAGGUGGGGUAACGGCUCACCUAGGCGACGAUCCCUAGCUGGUCUGAGAGGAUGACCAGCCACACUGGAACUGAGACACGGUCCAGACUCCUACGGGAGGCAGCAGUGGGGAAUAUUGCACAAUGGGCGCAAGCCUGAUGCAGCCAUGCCGCGUGUAUGAAGAGGGCCUUCGGGUUGUAAAGUACUUUCAGCGGGGAGGAAGGGAGUAAAGUUAAUACCUUUGCUCAUUGACGUUACCCGCAGAAGA